CAGUCGCCGCGGUAAUACGUAGGGUGCAAGCGUUAAUCGGAAUUACUGGGCGUAAAGCGUGCGCAGGCGGUUAUAUAAGACAGAUGUGAAAUCCCCGGGCUCAACCUGGGAACUGCAUUUGUGACUGUAUAGCUAGAGUACGGCAGAGGGGGAUGGAAUUCCGCGUGUAGCAGUGAAAUGCGUAGAUAUGCGGAGGAACACCGAUGGUGAAGGCAAUCCCCUGGGCCUGUACUGACGCUCAUGCACGAAAGCGUGGGGAGCAAACAGGAUUAGAUACCCCGGUAGUCCCUGUCUCUUAUAC
rnacentral:rRNA from 1 species